rnacentral:misc_RNA from 2 species
AUCGCGUCGCCACCCCAACCACAUUCAUGUCGAGGGGUGACGGAAAUUGGCCUCCCGUGCCGCAUGGUGCGGUUGGCCUAAAUGCGAUUCCUCGGCUGGGGAUGUCACGACAAGUGGUGGUUGAAUUGCUCAACUCGCGUGUUGUCGCGACAGUACCCUACGCCGUUCGCGGAACUGUUUUGACCCUCGAGCCUGAGUUAUCUCGGGCCCUCGACC